UUACGGCCACAUCACGUUCAGACACCGAUUCUCGUACGAUUAGAGAAGUUAAGCAACCUCGAGCCUGAUCAGUACGUAGAUGGGUGACCGCUUGGGAGUAACAUUUGCUGUAAG